rnacentral:lncRNA from 1 species
ACAGGCUGUCCCUCUGAAACUCCAGCCUUUCCCUCGGUUUCAGGCCAGACCAUGCCAUGCCAUGCCUCCUAUUUUACUUUCAAACAGCUAACUGGCAGAGAAAACCAUGAGGCUAGAAACAAACACACAUGUAUUUAUUUACAUUGUGAUAGUCUCCAAAGGCUCCAUCCAGCACUGUGGUUAAAGCAAACAACCAAUCAGCAAAGCAAGUCCAGAGUUCAAGCAGCAGCAAUCACUGCGCUGAGCUCCUCCGCUGGCAAACUUCAGCAUGUGGGUACCCGCAAAACAGAGAAGUGCUCGCUGGACUCCAGCAGCAUUGUGAGAUAUAAAAGUAACUAAUCAAUCAGUCUGCAACAGUUGGGAUCUGUUAUUGUAAGCAAUCUCCAUGAGAAGUUCAAGCAGAAAAUCCAAAAUCUGUGGCUAAAGUGUAAUGACAUUACAUAUAAACCAAAGUUGUCAAGUUGUCCUUACAGCACGUUACAACUGAGGCAUAUUGGGAUUCCUCCUGAGUUUG